rnacentral:lncRNA from 1 species
ACAUCUUAAACUACAAGUGGGAAGCAGAGAGAAUAUACUCAAAAUGGAAUUUUGAACAUUUAUCUAAUGCCUUAGUAAUAAAUCCAUUUCCUCCAUGGACAAGAUGGUCUUUACUCAUUUAUGCAUGGACAGUGAAGUUCUUCUCUUCUUGAUGCAAAAUAUUGUCAUCUUUUUAUAAUUUUCUAAAUAUAAGUGAACCAGGACACCAGUUGAGAGCCAGUGUCUUCUGUAACUUACAAGCAAGCUGCAUCUAUGUAUGAAGCCUCAGCAAUAGAGAUGAGUAAGCAUAACCUUGCACAAAAACAGCACCAGUUGACCUGCCACUGUGGAAGGAAUGUAUCAGGGGAGGUUCUGAGAGCAGGAAGUUAGGUAUUCAUGUCAUGGAAGGGCAGGAUCUGAAACCCAGCAUGCUCAGUAAGAGGUUUGGCUCUCUUCCAAAGCACUAGUAAAGAAGUGAGGUCUCUGAGGAAAUACAAGAGGCAAGAGGCAGGUGACAGAUCUGCAAGAAAAUCCCUAGGAAAAAAAUAGAACUGACUUUGUAAUCACAACAGGUAAGC